rnacentral:rRNA from 1 species
AGUGAACGCUGGCGGUAGGCCUAAUACAUGCAAGUCGAACGGUAGCACAGUAUGCGCUUGCUAUUACGGGUGGCGAGUGACGGACGGGUGAGGAAUACAUCGGCAUCUAUUUUUUCGUGGGGGAUAACGUAGGGCAACUUACGCUAAUACCGCAUACCACCUAAGAGUGAAAGCAGGGGAUCUUCGUACCUUGCGCGCACGAAUAAGUCGAUGUGCGAUUUACUAGUUGGCGGGGUAAAGGCACACCAAGGCAACCAUCCGUACAUAGUCUGCCAGGAUGAUCAGCCACACUGGAACUGGAACACGGUCAAGACUCCUAGGGGAGGCAGCGGUGGGGAAUAUUGGACAUUGAGCGCAGGCCUGAUCCAGCCAUACCGGUUGGUGGAGGAGGGCCUUCGGGUUGUAAAGCCCGUUUGUUGAGAAGAAAAAGCAGCAGGGUAAUACCCCGCUGAUCUGACGGUACCCAAAGAAUAAGCACCGGCUAACUUCGUG